rfam:Triticum aestivum genome assembly, contig: Triticum_aestivum_CS42_TGACv1_scaffold_666505_T_7AS-0.030877_5DL-0.015684
CAAAUACUCCCUCCGUUCGGAAAUACUUGUCAUCAAAAUGGAUAAAAGGAAAUGUAUCUAGACGUAUUUUAGUUUUAGAUACAUCUCUUUUUAUCCAUUUUGAUGACAAGUAUUUUCGCACAAGAGUUGGUGAUGA